rnacentral:rRNA from 1 species
AGGACGAACGCUGGCGGCGUGGAUUAGGCAUGCAAGUCGCGCGACAGGCCUUCGGGCUAUGGAGCGGCGAACGGGUGAGUAACACGUGAAUAACCUGUCCCUACAUUCCGGAUAAUUGGCCGAAAGGCCUUGUAAUACGGGCGAGGGUCGUUGGGAGGCAUCUCUUGACGAAGGAAGGCGCAAGCCGUGCGGGGAGGGGUUCGCGGAUUAUCAGCUAGUUGGUGGGGUAAUGGCCUACCAAGGCGACGACGAUUAGGUGGUCUGAGAGGAUGGUCACCCACAUUGGAACUGAGACACUGUCCAGACUCCUACGGGAGGCUGCAGUCGAGAAUCUUGGGCAAUGCACGAAAGUGUGACCCAGCGACGCCGCGUGGAGGAUGAAGGACCUCUGGUUCGUAAACUCCUUUUAGGGAGAAGAAGAUCUGACGGUAUCCCCUGAAUAAGCCACGGCUAACUACGUGCCAGCAGCCGCGUAA